GCUUGGUGGAUCAGUGGCGAACGGGUGAGUAACACGUGAGCAACCUGCCCUGGACUCUGGGAUAAGCGCUGGAAACGGCGUCUAAUACUGGAUAUGAGACGUGAUCGCAUGGUCGUGUUUGGAAAGAUUUUUCGGUCUGGGAUGGGCUCGCGGCCUAUCAGCUUGUUGGUGAGGUAAUGGCUCACCAAGGCGUCGACGGGUAGCCGGCCUGAGAGGGUGACCGGCCACACUGGGACUGAGACACGGCCCAGACUCCUACGGGAGGCAGCAGUGGGGAAUAUUGCACAAUGGGCGGAAGCCUGAUGCAGCAACGCCGCGUGAGGGAUGACGGCCUUCGGGUUGUAAACCUCUUUUAGCAGGGAAGAAGCGAAAGUGACGGUACCUGCAGAAAAAGCGCCGGCUAACUACGUGCCAGCAGCCGCGGUAAUACGUAGGGCGCAAGCGUUAUCCGGAAUUAUUGGGCGUAAAGAGCUCGUAGGCGGUUUGUCGCGUCUGCUGUGAAAUCCCGAGGCUCAACCUCGGGCCUGCAGUGGGUACGGGCAGACUAGAGUGCGGUAGGGGAGAUUGGAAUUCCUGGUGUAGCGGUGGAAUGCGCAGAUAUCAGGAGGAACACCGAUGGCGAAGGCAGAUCUCUGGGCCGUAACUGACGCUGAGGAGCGAAAGGGUGGGGAGCAAACAGGCUUAGAUACCCUGGUAGUCCACCCCGUAAACGUUGGGAACUAGUUGUGGGGACCAUUCCACGGUUUCCGUGACGCAGCUAACGCAUUAAGUUCCCCGCCUGGGGAGUACGGCCGCAAGGCUAAAACUCAAAGGAAUUGACGGGGACCCGCACAAGCGGCGGAGCAUGCGGAUUAAUUCGAUGCAACGCGAAGAACCUUACCAAGGCUUGACAUAUACGAGAACGGGCCAGAAAUGGUCAACUCUUUGGACACUCGUAAACAGGUGGUGCAUGGUUGUCGUCAGCUCGUGUCGUGAGAUGUUGGGUUAAGUCCCGCAACGAGCGCAACCCUCGUUCUAUGUUGCCAGCACGUAAUGGUGGGAACUCAUGGGAUACUGCCGGGGUCAACUCGGAGGAAGGUGGGGAUGACGUCAAAUCAUCAUGCCCCUUAUGUCUUGGGCUUCACGCAUGCUACAAUGGCCGGUACAAAGGGCUGCAAUACCGUAAGGUGGAGCGAAUCCCAAAAAGCCGGUCCCAGUUCGGAUUGAGGUCUGCAACUCGACCUCAUGAAGUCGGAGUCGCUAGUAAUCGCAGAUCAGCAACGCUGC
rnacentral:rRNA from 1 species